rnacentral:rRNA from 1 species
GUAGGUGGCAAGCGUUGUCCGGAAUUAUUGGGGCGUAAAGCGCGCGCAGGCGGUUCUUUAAGUCUGAUGUGAAAGCCCACGGGCUCAACCGUGAAGGGUCAUUGGAAACUGGAGAACUUGAGUACAGAAGAGGAAAGCGGAAUUCCACGUGUAGCGGUGAAAUGCGUAGAGAUGUGGAGGAACACCAGUGGCGAAGGCGGCUUUCUGGUCUGUAACUGACGCUGAGGCGCGAAAGCGUGGGGAGCAAACAGGAUUAGAUACCCUGGUAGUCCACGCCGUAAACGAUGAGUGCUAAGUGUUAGGGGGUUUCCGCCCCUUAGUGCUGCAGCUAACGCAUUAAGCACUCCGCCUGGGGAGUACGGCCGCAAAGGCUG